rnacentral:tRNA from 1 species
UGUCAGGGUGGCGCAGCGGUAGCGUGCCGGGUUCAUACCCCGGAGGUCGCGGGUUCGAAUCCCGCCCCUGCAACCA